UACGUAGGGUGCGAGCGUUAAUUGGAAUUACUGGGCGUAAAGCGUGCGCAGGCGGUUUUGUAAGACUGUCGUGAAAUCCCCGGGCUCAACCUGGGAAUGGCGAUGGUGACUGCAAGGCUAGAGUUUGGCAGAGGGGGGUAGAAUUCCACGUGUAGCAGUGAAAUGCGUAGAUAUGUGGAGGAACACCGAUGGCGAAGGCAGCCCCCUGGGUCAAAACUGACGCUCAUGCACGAAAGCGUGGGGAGCAAACAGG
rnacentral:rRNA from 1 species